rnacentral:rRNA from 1 species
AAACGGGUGCGGAACACGUACGCAACCUUCCUUUAAGUGGAGAAUAGCCCGGGGAAACCCGGAUUAAUACUCCGUAACAUUAUAAAGUGGCAUCACUUAGUAAUUAUAGAUUUAUCGCUUAAAGAUGGGCGUGCGCCUGAUUAGGUAGUUGGCGGAGUAAUAGCCCACCAAGCCUGCGAUCAGUAACUGGUGUGAGAGCACGACCAGUCACACGGGCACUGAGACACGGGCCCG